UACGGGGGGGGCAAGCGUUGUUCGGAAUUACUGGGCGUAAAGAGCUCGUAGGCGGUUCGGUAAGUCGGGUGUGAAAACUCUGGGCUCAACUCAGAGAUGCCACCCGAUACUGCCGUGACUUGAGUCCGGUAGGGGAGCACGGAAUUCCUGGUGUAGCGGUGAAAUGCGCAGAUAUCAGGAGGAACACCGGUGGCGAAGGCGGUGCUCUGGGCCGGUACUGACGCUGAGGAGCGAAAGCGUGGGUAGCAAACAGG
rnacentral:rRNA from 1 species